GUGAUAGCUUUGGCAGCAUAUAUACUAAAAUUGGAACAAUACCUAGAAGAUUAGCUUUGUCCCUGGGUAAGGAUAACAAGCACAUUCAUGAAGAGUUCCAUAUUUUU